UAGUUAGGGGGAGGUGGCCGUGCGCGGUGGUCUCAGCCAAUAUGUAAGAGGGGAGGGGGAACACUGUGGAGCAACCAGGCCAAAAGGUUAGGAGGAAGUCAAGUUCUCUCAGUGGGCAGUGGAGAAAGUGGCGAGAGGAAGAAUAAAUAAAUAAAUGAAGAUAAUUCCUACAAUAACUACUCACACCAGGAGUGACCAAACUUUUUGGGCUGAUCCAUAAAACCCUCAGAUGUUCUACACAACCAUGUAGAACAACCAGUCUAACCAAGCGUCAUGUUGGUGCAUGGAAAUCUGCCCUAAGAGUUGCGGCGCAUGCAUGUUCACACUGGUCAGUGCAGCGCAUCAGUGUUGUGAGCUGCUGUGUUUCCUAUCACUGUACAAGAGAUGCACGUGGCUGCUUUUAGGCCAGAAACACACUCAACGCAAGUGACCGCGCUCAGCCAGACGCACUGCAAACGCUCGGCCCUUCUGUGCAAACUCACCGGGCGUCCAUACAUUGCUGUGGCAGUUAAAACACACAGUAUUGAAGAGGGCAAUAGAGGACAAAUCAGAGAGGGAUGUACUAUUACAACAGCUAGACGUGAACAAGUACAGGAGAGUGAGCUGCUUUGCCAGGGGUGGUCUAUGAGGAGCCUGGCCGCUUCCUAUUUCCCACGUUAUAUCAAAAACAGGACUGUAAAACGACGGAGGGCACCCGGGAAUGAGUCCUCGAUGAAUGGGAGUAGCUUAAUGGAUGAAAACGAAAAGUUGCCCAAACCUUUCCUUUAAUUUUAGAAAGUAGAAGGAUGUAUUUCACUAAAAAAUCUGAAAUCUAACCUGUAUAUUUCCUUUUUUCUACAGCAAAAGGGUUCUGGGCAGCAGAACGCUGGCAUUACUGCUACUGAAUCCUGAUUGGUUGGCGAGCGGAGCAGCUCAUUGGCUGUUCGCGCUCACAGACAUCAUGGACACACAUGAGAGGAACCCAGAAGACAUUACUCACUGGUAAAUCUCCGCUCCUCUUUACUUACCUCACGUCUGCCAGAGCUUCCAGACUCCUCGUCACCCCUGGCUUUACGUCAUUCUAAAGAUGGUCAUCACCAAAGAUGCGGUUAAGACAACUCAGAACAAAGACGCACCAUUGAUUGUAAGGACCACAUGCCUCGGACGUGAUUCCUGCCGUCACUGAACACAACUACAGCUGUACGGAAGAGAUUUGGAGCUAAACCGGCUUUUCCCCGCUGCAGGACUACGCAUUUAAGGAAGGUGAGGAGCCGCACUACACCAGAGUUUUUGUAACCAGUUCACGUAGUAGCUUUCUGUGAGACCUUAAACACUUCAGACGUCUGGUUCCUAUCACCACCGCUUUGAACGAUUCUGACUCUGUAAGCUCUGCUCUGAUUCCGCUCUGAGUGACUUUGUUUACAUCCUAAUGAUGUUAUUAUUUAGAACCUUUUAAAGUUACUGAUUUAGUUCAUUUAUGCUAUUUUAUACUAUUUUAGCUUGGUACAGUUUUAUUUACUUUGUUUUACUCAUUUUUAAAGAUACAAUGAAACUGAACUUUGUGUUUGAAAGCUGCCUUAUGAAUAAAGUUAUUACCUAUUUCUUA